AAUGUCCCAGAUGAUUUUGGCGCACCACUACAUCAUGCUUCCAGCGCUGGCGAACACGAUACUGUUAAAGUUCUUCUGGAUCACGUGCUAAUCCUAAUUUGGUCUUCCAUGAUACAUUUACUCCACUUCGGGUAUCUAUCAGUUCCAAUCUUGGCAAUGCGGGGAGCAAUUACUAAAGGCAGGUGCUGAUCCAAAUGGUGGACCAGAUGGAGUAAAAGCUCUGCUACUUGCCUCUGAAGUUGGCGCAACAUGAUCAAGGAUCUGCUCGAAGCUGGUGCAAAUCCGUAUAUUACAAUUAUAGUAAUGGGGCGACAUAAAUCAUCAAACUCCUGGUUGAAGCUGGUGCAGAUCCCAAGGUUACAAAUUUACAAGGACUAAAGCCAAUAGGAGCUAUUGACGGUAAUCAUCGAGGUGUUGAGAUUCUUCUUCCUGUGACUUCCCUCAUAUGUUGACUGGAGCGUAAAUGGAAUAAUGAAGCAUGUAAAUUCUAAGAAGUUCGAAAAAAGAAACGUUUCAGGUGAAUGUAUUGAUUUACAGUAUACUAGUAAAGUAAAGGAGAGUCCUCUUGAGGCAAAAUAAAGGGCACAAUUGCAUACCAUAAGGAGUAUUGUCUGGCAGUAUAUUGGUACUCACAGCUAUCUUUUUCUUAAUCAAAAACGCUAUAAGGCAAAGUGUAUAAAUGAAAUUUAAUUUAAUUGAUAGCUAUUAAGUGGAAGGUGAAAUAAGAACCCUUACACCUUCCACGUAUGUAUUGAUGUUUAAGCAUCCACACUAUAUGUGGUACAAUUUGGAUCAUUGGGGAAUAUCCGGGAACAUCUGCGUUUAUACUAGUAAUGUGCCUCUGUCAAACCAUGAUCUAGGAAAGAAAUCGUGUUCAAGCCUUCAUUUCUUCUUUUGUCGGUACGUAGAUUUUAUUUCAAUGCAGUUCCCCUUCUACUUAUUUCAAAAUUGACGUUCAAGUUUCAGAACCUGGGCAUUUUUAAGUCCCAACCACACAGUUUUUCACAAGAGAGAACGCUUCCCUGUUCCUCUUACAUCUUCAUCACCUAGGCCCAUUCUCAUCUGAAACUUAACUGUUCAUCUCAGCUGUUUUUGAUGUUUUAAAAUAGUUACUUGGUGUAAUUGUUAUGCAGGCACAUGUUACUGUUGCAGUAGACUUAGAACGGGACACCACCUAUAUCCACAGUUUCCAUGUUGUCUUCGCAUUUUCUCAAGCAUGGAAAUUAAUUUUACAGAUAUUUUCGCUCUUAAACUGUAUUUCAAACUGUCAUUUGUUCUUUUUCCCCAAAAUGGGUUGAUCGCUCUACUGGUUUGUUUUUCAGGCCCUCGACUAUGAACCAUGAUGCAGUGAUGGUCGUACCCAACAGGAGUUUGUGCUAUGCUCUUUUUAAAUAAAGGAGAUCUUGCUUUGGAAGAUGUUACUCAAUGUGUGUGGGAAAGGCCAGACUGGCCCAAGGCGUUUUAUAAGGCAGGCGUAGCACUCAAACCUCUAAAUAGGCUUGAUGAUGCAGCUGGUGCCUUUUUCAAAGGUUUGAAAGUGGAUCCUAAACAAAGAGCUUGAAGAUGCAUUCAGGGAGGUUACUUUAGUCCCACUCUAGGUUGAAUGACAGAUGGUGGAUAUUUAUCCAACAGAUACUCCGCAAUUUUUUUUUUCUUGGAUGAAACUUUUUGUAACUCCUGUAAAAAAUUAGAAACUUGCUAACGAUCUCUUGAACCAUGUAAUGGCUCUUGAUAGUUCCUUCUGUUUGAAUUGAAGUCUCAACAAGUCUAAAGCAUUGGGCAAGUCUCCCUAUGUUCUUGGUAUUAGUUCUUUUCCUCUUUGUUUUCAAACAGCUCAUAAAAAUUG